CCCCAUAGGGAAAAGGAGCUGGUAUCAGGCACAAACUCUGCCCAAGACACCUAGCUACGCCACACCCACAAGGGAACUCAGCAGUGAUUAAUAUUGAAUAAUAAGCGACAGCUUGAUUCAGUUACAGAAUAUAGAGCCGGCAAAUCUGGUGCCAGCCGCCGCGGUUACACCACGUGGCUCAAAUUGAUUCUAAUUCGGCGUAAAGCGUGAUUAAAGCUUCUUUUAGAUUAGAGUUAAACUAAAAUUAAGCCGUGACACGCUUAUUACUUAAGGAAACCCGAAAACGAAAGUUACUCUAACUUCAUCAGCUUGAAUUCACGACAAUCGGAACACAAACUGGGAUUAGAUACCCCACUAUGUCCGAUCGUAAACUUUUACUUACACACUCUAUCGCCUGGGAACUACGAGCAAAGCUUAAAACCCAAAGGACUUGACGGUACCCCACAUCCCCCUAGAGGAGCCUGUCCUAUAAUCGAUAAUCCACGUUUAACCUCACCAUUUUUAGUUCUUCAGCCUGUAUACCUCCGUCGUCAGCUUACCUCGUGAGCGAACCAUAGUGAGCUUAAUGAUACCCCACCAACACGUCAGGUCAAGGUGCAGCAAAUAAAAUGGAAAGAGAUGGGCUACACUUUCUAAAAUAGAAUACACGAAAGAUUAUUUAUGAAACCUAAUCAGAAGGCGGAUUUAAUAGUAAAAAGAAACCAGAAUGUUCUUUUUAACCCGGCACUGGGGUGUGUACACACCGCCCGUCACCCUCCUCAAAGCUAAAAAACAGUAUCUAACUACUUUAAGCAUUAUAGAAGAGGCAAGUCGUAACAUGGUAAGUAUACCGGAAGGUGUGCUUGGAUCAUGGAAUAUAGCUUA
rnacentral:ncRNA from 1 species